rnacentral:lncRNA from 1 species
GGACUUCUUUCUUCUCCUUCUGAAGAUCUUCAAGUGUCUUGAGAACCAGAGGGACAAAGAUGGAAGACUCCCACUUAGUCAGAGCAUCCGAUUCUACCCUGUUGGCAGAUUCUUCAUCACGACGAGCUUCAGCUUCAGUAGCGGCUUUAGCUUCAGCAGCAACUUUUGCUUCAGCUUCAGCAGCAGCAGCAGCCUCAGCUAGAGCUUUGGCUUCAGCUUCCUUAAUCCGUUGCAUUUCCUCUUGUUUGGCUUUCUCUUCUGCUUCUUUC